GAAACCGCCGUCGUGUCGUCUCCUCGAAGAUUCCUGAAGAUCCACUCAGGCUGCGGGAUCUGGUUUCUGACAUCCUGAGACAAGUCAAUGCAGUCAGGAGGAGGAGAGAGCAGCAGGAUGUACGCUCACUGAGCCAGAACUCAGACAGCAUAAACAAAAAUCUCUCACAGCACAGACUUUAUAAUAGAUCCCGGUGGUUUGAUUCCCCACCUCCCUCCCAGACACCAUGACGUCCUCUAUGCUCCGACGACAGCUCAAAAACCUGGUCCAGAACUACUC